rnacentral:rRNA from 1 species
AACGGAAGUCGUUAUAAUGAUUCUGAUACAGAUUUGAAGAUUUAUCUGAUAUGAAGUUGAAGUUGAUUUAUAACAAUGGCUUUAGUGGCGGACUGGUGAGUAACGCGUAAGUAAUCUGCCUAUCAGAGGGGAAUAACAGUGAGAAAUCAUUGCUAAUACCGCAUAUGCCAUAAUCAUCGCAUGAUGAUAGUGGGAAAGGAGUAAUCCGCUGAUAGAUGUGCUUGCGUCUGAUUAGCUAGUUGGUGGGGUAACGGCCUACCAAGGCGACGAUCAGUAGCCGGACUGAGAGGUUGAACGGCCACAUUGGGACUGAGAUACGGCCCAGACUCCUACGGGAGGCAGCAGUCGGGAAUAUUGCGCAAUGGAGGAAACUCUGACGCAGUGACGCCGCGUAUAGGAUGAAGGUUUUCGGAUUGUAAACUAUUGUCGUUAGGGAAGAUAAAAGACAGUACCUAAGGAGGAAGCUCCGGCUAACUACGUGCC